UCGACUAAACAGGGGUGCUUCGCGCAUGGCAGGUCGCGGCGAGGCUGAGAGAGACCCUUUGCACCCGAUCCGGGUAAUAUCGGCGAGGGAAGUUUCCGGAGACCGCGC
rnacentral:ncRNA from 2 species